UCCCUGGUGGCUCAGAUGGUAAAGCAUCUGCCUGAAAUGCGGGAGACCCAGGUUCAAUCCCUGGGUUGAGAA
rnacentral:tRNA from 1 species